UCCUAUAUUUAAAGAUAACUAAAUAUUAAGUAAUCUCAAGCCUUCAAUAAACACCCUUGGUCCUUUAAAAAAACAUUUAAAAGUCCUGCGCCGCACCCCUUAAGGCCUAGCAUUAUCCCAUAAUGCUUAGGCAAUUUAAGCCGUUGUUCUAUGGUGACGAUCGAUAUUCGAUCGAUCAAAAUUAGCUCAUAUAUAACAACAAAACUUUUUAGACCCUAGCAAGUUAGGGUACACAAGCGUUGAAACCCAACAUGAGCCCCCUGUCACGGUUUAGGCACAUCAAUGCUGCUUUCAAAGCACUCCUAUCCAAACAAAGAUCUCAAGGUAUAUCCCAACCUUUCUAAUCUGUUUUUAUUGCCCCCCACCAAGCCAACCGCCACCCCAUCGGUCCACUAUGGGGCACCCCUUUGACUUCUCACCCAACGCACCACGCAAAUGCAUUGAGCAUACAGUCUAAGGCGGCCCUGCCUAUAGAGGGCUCAUAGUCCACAAGAGAGCUAGGGGCAAAGAGAGAUGGAUCCUAGUGACCUUGACCAGGAUGGUGCUAGGCCUCUUGACCAUCUGCUCUUGUGUUUUAGUCGUCGGCUUUGAAGCCAACCUAGGUUCUUCGCUAUGUGGGGUGCCAUCUUGCCCUCUGACAAUUGGUGAAGUGGUCGGGGAGCAACAUGAUUGGUGGUUGAUAAUUUAUGAGAUGUCUCCCAUCGAGGCAUAGCCAAACACACCAUGACAUAGCAAGGGACAACUUGGUCCCACUCAAACUACCGAUUGAUGCUCGACUGACGAGGUUAUAGUGGAUAGUCUGACCACGCAUGGGGCGAAAAACUGGCCCAUAAACGUGGUUCUUUUUUUUCAAAACUGUAAACGUGGUUCUUGACCACUCGGGGUCUUAAGACAAACAAAAGGCAGAGAAAGGACUACCUCAACAGCCUCAACUGGGUCAAGACAAAGCCCUCGGCAUUCUCUCACAUGUUCCAAUCAUCAACACCCCACUAA
rnacentral:lncRNA from 1 species